rnacentral:rRNA from 1 species
UACGGGGGGGGCAAGCGUUGUUCGGAAUUACUGGGCGUAAAGGGUUUGUAGGUGGCUUGUUAAGUCAGACGUGAAAUCCCUCAGCUUAACUGGGGAACUGCGUCUGAUACUGGCGAGCUUGAGUGCAGGAGAGGAACGCGGAAUUCCAGGUGUAGCGGUGAAAUUCGUAGAUAUUCGGAAGAACACCAGUGGCGAAGGCGACUCACUGGCCCGUUACUGACGCUGAGGCGCGAAAGCGUGGGGAGCAAACAGG